rnacentral:lncRNA from 1 species
GCUGGAUAAUUUUCCUUUUUCUUGAAUUACUAUAAUAAAUUGAAGCUCUUGUUGUUUUGUAACCAAGGCUGAUGGAACUGCUGAGGCUUUAGUUUCACAAGGGUGCCCUUAUGUUAUGAUUCAUUCAAUCAACUCCUGGAUGUGUUUACCUAAAAAGGAACUUGGGUACAGUAAAUAACAUUAAGGGGGCCAUCUCUUGCAAAUGCUUCUUUAUUUAUUUAUCUCGUAUAUCUUGAAAAAUCAAGACCAAUCUAUCAGCAAAUGUUAAUAAAUUAAAUGAAAUCCAGUAUUCAUAUAUAAACAUUAAUAAAAAUAAAUUUUAUGAUUCGGUGAAAGGCAAAGUUAAAGAAAAUUACGACCCUGAGUACGAACAAGAAACCGUCAAUACGAACUAUUGAUUUCAAUUGUUUCAAACAACAAGCUCAAAAAGUGUACCGAGACCCGCAAACCAGCCGUCGCUUACCUUGCUUUCACAAGCCAAGGAUUUCUUGUGACCGGUAAAUAGUCAGGAGUCAGGUUAUUUGAAACAAAUCGUUUCCAACCUCGAUUUGGGAGCGCAUACAGCAGGCACUUCCACGCCUUCAACAUGUAUAUAUGUUAGAGAAGUUUCUCCAACAGUCGUAUUAACCUCUUUGUCGUACUCAGUGCAACGCAUCGUACUUUACAUUUGAGGUCGUUCCCUCGUUUUCACGAAAAGAAUAACCAAAACCCGUCAACCUGCAAUAAAUCUGGGUUUACGUCCUUCCACUUGAUAAGUAAACCUGGGGCUAGCAAAAAAGACAUUAUGGGAACCUAACAACAACCGUUAGGACGUUACUGGAUAUAGAAAAUAAUGUAUUCAGCAGAUCAUAUUGUGGGGGAUAAAAAAAAAAUCAUACCGUGAGGGGUCAAAAAGAUCUCAAGAUAAAACAGGUAAAUAAUGACAGGUUAAAUGCUG